GGACUACAAGGGUAUCUAAUCCUGUUUGCUCCCCACGCUUUCGUGCCUGAGCGUCAAUCUCGGCCCAGGGGGCUGCCUUCGCCAUCGGUGUUCCGCCACAUCUCUACGCAUUUCACUGCUACACGUGGCAUUCCACCCCCCUCUGCCGGAUUCAAGUCCCAUAGUUUCCACUGCAGUUCCCAAGUUAAGCUCGGGGCUUUCACAGCGGACUUGCGGGACCGCCUACGCACGCUUUACGCCCAGUAAUUCCGAUUAACGCUCGCACCCUACGUAUUACCGCGGCGGCUGGCAC
rnacentral:rRNA from 1 species